ensembl:lncRNA
GUUUGCACUCGGUGAGACAUAGAAGUAAAAGCCAAAGGACACAAAGGCAAAGAAGCGGGCAUAUGGUUAAAGCCAUCUUUACUACUGACUGUGAAAUAAAUCCCUUCUUGUUUCCAAAUACAUACCCAAUCAAUGAAUCGAUGUUCAGAGAUCAUUCAAGAAGGGAUAUGAAAAGAUGAAAGGUGCCGGAGGUCCCUGCGAGUUGGGGCAGGUGUGACUUUUAUAUCCUGCUCCUGCCCCCUGGCAGAAUGAUAGCAAUAAACAACAAGAAUUCCCAUACCCAUCCUAUGUCAGUGGGCUAUUCAUGGGCAGCAUCAUCUCCAGCAGCAUCCUCUUCCAUGCACUUAGCAAGAGUCUCACAUUUCCUUUAUGCAAAGUCUGAGUCUGUGUUAUGAUUUUAUGUUUUGCUGAUUGAUCAAAAAUUCAACCCAAACUGCAGAGUCCAUCCAGGUGACUGAAGAGACUCAGCAUCUGAGAAUUCUAGACACUGAGUGAAACUGUAAGCCUUGUAGAUAAGGCAGGCAAGUCAAGUAAGGAAGAUCUCAAAAGACACAGCAACACAUGCUAACCAUUCACAUUCCCUACCUAUGGACUCAGGUUGAGUAGGAGAUUAAUAAUUCAUCUUGCCUUGAGAUAAAGCACAUCAAAUAUGGCAGCCCUUGAGGGAGUGCUCUACAGACUUGGUGCAAGAUAAUCACCAGAUGGGAGCUAUCUGCACUAGCAGAAGAAACAGAAAUUGAAGAGCAUUUUUGAUAAAAAAUCCCGUAACUGCUUUUGGGUUACAUUGUAGGUGUGUGGACCACAGCCUGGCUGUGACACAAUCCGAGCCUUUGCCUUUGCUCUCUGUUCAUCUGUGCCAUGCAGUAACUGCCCUGAGCUGGGGGACUCAGAGCAAUAAAUUCUGCCUGAGGAAUAAGGACACACUCAGUGCUGCUAGCAGGCACCUUACAGCACCUUUCAUCAAAAACCAGCUGGAAGACUGGUUUUUGGGGCAGGGGGAAUCCUGCCCCACAGACGUAAAGCCCUUCCCACCUGAAUGGAAACACUCGGUCUGUCUUCAUCAUUCAGCCCAGAGCAAAGCAACUGCAGUCAUGCCGUGCAAAGAGGUGAUGUUCUUUGCAGCCCAUCAGCCCUCUGCACUCACACACCUCUAUGGUUUUGGUCCCUCAGACUGCAGAUGUGCAGCUGCUGCUCUUUUAAAUGCCGCUUCCAGCCCAGCUCCACGCAAGCAAAGCAUCACGGACAAAUACAUCUUUCUGAGGCAGCAGUCAGGUGAAUCUUGUGUGGGAGGAAAGUUCUCCUUCCUAAACAGAAGAGGCAUUACUGUGUGCAUGAAGCUGUAGUCUGGCCAGACUAACAAAGGGGGAUACAAAAAUAGCACAGGCAGAUUCUGAGCACGCAGGAGGUUCAUUGCUCACCACAGAGUGAGUUCUCAGCACAUGGCCACGUUCUGUGGGUCUGUUGAUCAUCUCCAUGGGCAGAUGCAGGGCCUGAGCUGAGUUCCUCCAUUCUCAGCACAGAGAGCAGAAC